rnacentral:rRNA from 1 species
UACGGAGGUGGCUAGCGUUGUUCGGAAUUACUGGGCGUAAAGCGCACGUAGGCGGCUUUUCGAGUCAGAGGUGAAAGCCCGGGGCUCAACUCCGGAAUUGCCUUUGAAACUGGAUGGCUAGAACACGGGAGAGGUGAGUGGAAUUCCGAGUGUAGAGGUGAAAUUCGUAGAUAUUCGGAGGAACACCAGUGGCGAAGGCGACUCACUGGACCGUUGUUGACGCUGAGGUGCGAAAGCGUGGGGAGCAAACAGG